GGAACCUAGUGGUCCAGGUGAAAUGGUCCCAACGGGAGAGUCAGAGUUCGUCCAAUUUGCGAGAGAUGAAGGCGGUCCAUCUUGCCCUGCGCCAUUUUGCCAGCUCUCUGAAGAAUCAGAGGGUGUUGGUUCAGUCGGACAAUCUAGUGACUGUUUUCUACAUAAACAAACAAGGGGGAACAAGAUCCCAGUCUUUGAUAGUAGAAUGCGGUGCCAUGAUGAGAUGGGCAGAAUUGAAUCCACUAGAAAUCCGAGCAGUCCACAUAAAAGGAGAAAGGAACGUGAAGGCAGAUUGGCUAAGUCGGCACCAGAUAGACCAGUCGGAGUGGAGUCUCCAUCCGGAAGCCUUCAAGUGGAUCAGGGACAGGAUGGGUUUGCCAGUCAUGGAUGUGAUGGCAAAUAGAAUCAACAGGAAAAUUCCAGCAUUCUGUUCCCUCAACAGGAGAGACAACUCGGACUUCUUGGAUGGCCUCUCGAUCAGUUGGGGGAAGAAGUUCAUAUAUGUAUUCCCUCCCUUCCAGCUGGUAGCCCAAGUUCUAAAAAAGAUCAAGGUGGAGCAGGCAUCUGCAAUAGUGAUCCUGCCCUUCUGGCCCAGGAGGGCCUGGUUUCAGUUCGUGUGGGAACUUUCGAGGGGCUCAUAUCUGGAAAUUCCAUACAGGCCGGAUCUAUUAUCUCAGCAGGGUGUGUACCACCAGAACCGGCAGAAUUACCGAUUAACGGCAUGGAAAAUAUCUGGCCAUCAUUGACGUCAAGAGGUUUUGCGGAUGAAGUAGUAGACAUCUUAUCCUGUUCUCGCAGGCCUUCAACUGUCAAAGUUUAUGACAAUGUGGCUAAAAAAUUUCUGGCCUGGUGUAACCAGAAUCAAGUUAUGUCUCCAGCCUUAAAGGAUGUUCUAAAGUUUCUACAGGAGGGGUUCGAAAAAGGACUUAAGUGGAAUACCCUCAAAGUCCACUUCUCUGUGAUCAAUUACCUGCUUGAAGGAAAAUUUUCCAAUUGCAGUUUGGUGAGAAGAUUUUUUAGAGCCAUAAAAAAUUUACGUCCUCCUGUGAAAGUCCCAGUAGCAUCUUGGGAUCUCUCUGUUGUUCUGGAAGCCUUGAGCAAAACUCCCUUUGAACCAUUGCAUUCUACCUCAGUGAAACUGCUGUCCAUGAAAACCGUAUUUCUGGUUGCCAUCUCUACAGCCAGGCGUGUGGGGGAAAUUCAGGCUUUAUCCUGCAGAGAGCCCUAUCUUAGGUGUUCUCAGAAUUGCCUAAUCCUGAGGACUGAUCCUUCGUUUCUUCCUAAGGUCAACCAGGAGAUUUUCUUGCCCAGUCUGUAUGAUUAUCCGCAAGGUGAAGAGCAGCAGAGAUUACAUCUCCUGGAUGUUAAAAGAGCUGUGCUCUUGUACUUGGAUAAGGUGAAGGAUUUCAGGAAGACAAAUUCCUUGUUUGUUCUGUUCCAAGGCCCUAAUAUGGGUAGGCAAGCCUCUAAGGCAUCUCUGGCGAGAUGGAUAAAGGAUACCAUCUUGAUGGCAUAUUCUUCUCAACAUCUGCCACCUCUGGAGGUCAUUAGAGCCCAUUCUACGAGAUCGGCAUCUACUUCUUGGGUGGCAUUGGCACAAGUUUCCUGGGACCAGAUUUGUCGGGCGGCUACGUGGUCUACACCAAGCACAUUCAUCAACCACUACAAGCUCGAUGUGAUCACCAAUAAAGAGGUGUCCUUUGGCGGGAGGGUGCUCGAAGUAGCAGCCACAAAUGUCCCUCCCAGUUAAUAAUUGCUUUUCAUCCCUAUUGUUUCCUGUGCUGCCGUAGGACGAAAUGGAAAGUUCAGAUUUACUUACCAAAAUCUCUUCUUUCCGUGAGUCCGUAGGCAGCACAGGGUCCUUCCCUGAAUAAAUAGUAUUGCUGCAUUCAAACACAGUGUGGUAUUGUCUUUGGGGGAUAUUUAUGCUAUGAGGGGGUGGAUUCCAGGUGCUAAUUGCUCAUUAUGUAAUUAAUUAUGUUAAUUAGUUUUGUUUCUUCUGCCUAAUAGUAGGAAAUAUAUGUUAACCCUAUUGUUUCCUGUGCUGCCUACGGACUCAUGGAAAGAAGAGAUUUCAUAGAGAAAAGUUAAAUGAAAAACCACAUGAUCUAUCUCCAAAUGCAUGACUCCAGGAGAAGCCACCUGUAAGGUCAUUGUAAAUCCCUACCUAUGUUAUCUGUGAAGCCAGACUAAACCCUGAAGAAGCUUCUAAAACUGACAGAUCCUUUCAAUGUCCUGCUGCAUCUUAUGGAACCUCUGCCUUCUCGGUUGACCUGCAUUAUUAGCCUCAUGCCAAGGUGGUUAGCUGAGAAUCCAGUAUAUCUUUGCCAAAAACAGAAAUUCACCCUAGUGGAAAGAAGAUGGAAAAUAUUUUCUUUGCAUUUCCCUCACAAAGAGUCAAUUUUUUGGGUCAAAUAGACAGAAACACAGCCUACAAAUAAUUAGGCUGUGUAAAUGUUUGUAUUUGUAGUUUACAGCAAUGGAACAUUUGCUUGUAUUUAAGGUAGGAUGUAUAAGAAAGAAGACCAUAUACAGUACAGACCAAAAGUUUGGACACACCUUCUCAGAGUUUUCUUUAU